AUAUCGGACUUUUUAAAGUCCACCAAACCAAAAAUGGUUAAUACGU
rfam:Glossina fuscipes fuscipes unplaced genomic scaffold Scaffold664, whole genome shotgun sequence.